CCUACUUACGCAACAGGAAAAUGACUGAUUUGUUCAACUCUUCACCUCACCACAUUUAGUCUUGUGCUGCAGUCAAGCCACAGUCUUUCCUUCAUCCCUGGGAGGUACUCAGUGUUGGUGGGACAGCUCAGCUUUUGGGGAUUCGCUUUCCAUAUUAGACUGCAGCCUGCUGGGCCAGCCAUGGAGAGAUGGCUCCAGACUCCUCAUGCUCUCUUCUAAAGAGUGAACACCUAGAGUUCAGGUGCUGCUUCUGAUCGUUCCAGGGCCAGGCUCAGAAGGAGAGGGGAUUAAUGAAAAAGACUUUUUGUGGCUUGUGUAGCCUGUAAUCUGAUGACUUCCUCUGAGGUGGCAGUUGUGCAAUCAGAAAUUCAUUCAUGUGAGGAAAAAGCAGUUAAAACUGAUGGAAAAAUGCCAAAGAAAGCGGCUGUCAGACUGAUUGCUUUUUGGCAGAGACUGAGAUCAAGAUUUACCAAGGAAAGCCCAUGUAAAUAUGACCCAAGAGGAAGUGACAGAGCUCAAGAGCAUUACUAAGCCUCGAAACUGGAAUUUCAGUUACCUUGCAAGGUAUCUGAGAAAAAAAAUUACAUAUAUGCAAACACAAUGUGGAUGAAUCACUGCGCUGAUGGAAUGGUGGUUACUAAAACAGCAUUACUCUGAUUUCUGAAGCAACAAGAGAAAAAAGACAACAGAGAGCAAGUAACUUACCUUUUUGGGACCCAAUCUUGAGCAAAUGUUAGUUCUGCCCUGGAUUCAGCUACCUAGGGCAGAACAAAAGGGAAAGUGAAAGGUCCUCUAGAUCAGGUGUUUCCCAGGAUGUAACUUAAAAGCAGCUGUCUUACCUGUCUGUUCUUUAGUCUCCAGUCUUGGCUCAAACUUUCUGGCACUGGAUUUAAGAGUAUCUUCAGAAUACCUGAGUGCUCACUUUUAGCCCCUUCCUUGAAUCAUUCUUUCUAUCCUUUCCUGAGCUCUUUGUGUAUGCGUCUGUUCCCUUAUUUGACUGUAAUCAGAUUGGAAGGCAGGCGCUGUGUCUUACUCAUCUUUGUAUUUUCUUUCCUCAACCCUUUUGUAUAACAGUGUUCUGCUUAUAUGUAAUACAUUUUUGUUUGUAAAAUAAAAAUAUGGUUGGAGGCACAUACAGAUUCAACACAAACAUAAAUUCGAAUACAAGUACAAAUUCUCCAAUGUUUUAAUUGCUGCCAGGAAAAUGAUGGGAGAUUGUAAGAUUUGUGAAGUGAUUGACUUCCUGUUUUUAAUAGAAUAAGUACCAUAUUUAUAUUUUAAGUGCAAAU